rnacentral:rRNA from 1 species
GACGAACGCUGGCGGCGUGCCUAAUACAUGCAAGUAGAACGCUGAAGGAAGGAGCUUGCUCUUUCUGGAUGAGUUGCGAACGGGUGAGUAACGCGUAGGUAACCUGCCUGGUAGCGGGGGAUAACUAUUGGAAACGAUAGCUAAUACCGCAUAAAAUUGAUUAUUGCAUGAUAGUCAAUUAAAAGGUGCAACUGCACCACUACCAGAUGGACCUGCGUUGUAUUAGCUAGUUGGUGGGGUAACGGCUCACCAAGGCGACGAUACAUAGCCGACCUGAGAGGGUGAUCGGCCACACUGGGACUGAGACACGGCCCAGACGCCUACGGGAGGCAGCAGUAGGGAAUCUUCGGCAAUGGACGGAAGUCUGACCGAGCAACGCCGCGUGAGUGAAGAAGGUUGUCGGAUCGUAAAGCUCUGUUGUAAGAGAAGAACGAGUGUGAGAGUGGAAAGUUCACACUGUGACGGUAUCUUACCAGAAAGGGACGGCUAACUACGUG